UCAAGAAUGAGGUUGGAAGAGAUCAUUCUCCUGUUUGCAAAUGAGAAACAAGUAUAGGUGUGAAGAGACCUGUCCACAGCCAUUCAACAAAUGAAAAGUCCAGUCGAAGAUGGGACCUGAUUUCUUACACCCCAGGGUCUCUGCAGUCCCUCACCGCCUUUCAUAAAGGCUCUGUGGAGUUCUCUCAGCCCCAGCUACCUCUUUCACACCUGUAUGCCAGGUGGGCACAGGCCUUAUGGAUUGAGGAGACUUUUUGCCAAAGUUGACUUCAUGGUAUACAUGUUAAAGAAAUGUUGGCACAUGGAUGAAGUACGUUUCUCAAAAGAUAGAGCCCACGAGAUUGACUUCCAGACAAAGGGAUGUGGGCAGAAAUGAUGUGUGUGGUUUCCACGAAGGAACAAUCUGCAAAUGGCCCACCAUGCCCUUCCCCUCCCACCUUCUUGAUGAAGAUGGGUGUGACCACCAUGAAAGCCCUGAUUUGACAAGGCAGAGCCACAGGGUGGAAAAAUGAG